rnacentral:rRNA from 1 species
CCCUUAGAUGUUCUGGGCCGCACGCGCGCUACACUGAUGCAUUCAACGAGCCUAAAACCUGGUCUGAUAGGGCUGGGUAAUCUUUUGAAAGUGCAUCGUGAUUGGGAUAGAUGAUUGCAAUUCUUCAUCUUCAACGAGGAUUACGUCCCUGCCCUUUGUACACACCGCCCGUCGCUCCUACCGAUUGAAUGAUCCGAUGAAUACCAUGGAUUGAGAAUACGAAUAGGUUCGCUUAUUUCUGCUACUCAAGAAGUGGAGUAAAUCUUAUCAUUUAGAGGAACGAGAAGUCGUAACA